CCUACGGGAGGCAGCAGUGAGGAAUAUUGGUCAAUGGGCAGAAGCCUGAACCAGCCAAGUAGCGUGCAGGAUGACGGCCCUACGGGUUGUAAACCGCUUUUAUACGGGAAUAACGCGCCUUACGUGUAGGGCUUUGCCUGUACCGUAUGAAUAAGGACCGGCUAAUUCCGUGCCAGCAGCCGCGGUAAUACGGAAGGUCCGGGCGUUAUCCGGAUUUAUUGGGUUUAAAGGGUGCGUAGGCCGCAUGUCAAGCGUGCUGUGAAAUGUCCGGGCUCAACCCGGGCCUUGCAGGGCGAAUUGGCGUGCUUGAGUCCGAGGAAAGCAGGCGGAAUACGUAGUGUAGCGGUGAAAUGCUUAG
rnacentral:rRNA from 1 species